rnacentral:sRNA from 1 species
UCACUUCUUCCUUAAGGAAUACGAGAGU